GUCGAACGCUGGCGGCGUGCUUAACACAUGCAAGUCGAACGGUAAGGCCCUGCUUUUGUGGGGUGCUCGAGUGGCGAACGGGUGAGUAACACGUGAGUAACCUGCCCUUGACUUUGGGAUAACUUCAGGAAACUGGGGCUAAUAUCGGAUAGGAGCUCCUGCUGCAUGGUGGGGGUUGGAAAGUUUCGGCGGUUGGGGAUGGACUCGCGGCUUAUCAGCUUGUUGGUGGGGUAGUGGCUUACCAAGGCUUUGACGGGUAGCCGGCCUGAGAGGGUGACCGGCCACAUUGGGACUGAGAUACGGCCCAGACUCCUACGGGGGGCAGCAGUGGGGAAUAUUGCACAAUGGGCGGGAGCCUGAUGCAGCAACGCCGCGGGCGGGAUGACGGCCUUCGGGUUGUAAACCGCUUUCGCCUGUGACGAAGCGUGAGUGACGGUAAUGGGUAAAGAAGCACCGGCUAACUACGUG
rnacentral:rRNA from 1 species